CUGCCUCUCUGUCUCUGUCUGCCUGUCUGUCUCUUGUCUGUCUGCUCUGUCUUUCUCUGUCUCCUUGUCUGCCUCUGCCUCUCUGUCUCUGUCUCUGCCUGUCUGUCUCUUGUGUCUCUGCCUCUGUCUCUGUCUUUGCCUCUGUCUCUGUCUCUGUCUCUCUCCUGUGUGCCUAACAGGGGAAGAAACCACAGCGAGACUCAGACAUGGAGAGAAAAGUCAAGGAUGUUUAUUCUGUCAUUCUGGGCCUCUCUUUCCCACCCCCCUCUCUCUCACCAUAGAGAAAAAUUGAGAACCAGAGACACAGAGAGAAAGAUAUUGGAGAAGCAGAAAUACCAUGGAUAAGACCCAGGAGAGAAUGAGAGAUGGAGACAAACAAAGAAGAAAAAAAGAGAAGAGGAGCCAGAGACAGCAGUGAUGGAGGAGGAAGGGAGAAAGACGAGAAACAAAGGAGAGGAAGAAGAGAGAGAGAGAGGGAUAGAUGCGGGCAGCAGAUGAGGGGUGAAGGCAGAAAGAAGUUUGGUCUAGGUCCAGGAGAUGGGGGUGGGGGAUGAUGGGAAGACCAAAGAUGGGUAAGCCUGGAGGAGGCUGAGUUAAAGAAGGCUAGAGGAGCGCCCUGUGCGCUGCUCUUCCCCACCCCCACCCCCACCCCUUUCCCUCCCUCGCUCCUUCAUGAUCUUGAAACAACCUUCAAGUCUGGGCUGGAGGCCCCAGGAGGUCAGUCACUUAGGAAACAAAACUGUUUCUUGGAGACCUUGAAAACCCAUCUGCAGCCGAUGCACGUCCCCAACCCCCGCUUCCCUGGUGUGUGCCUGCACACACACACACACACACACACACACACACACACACACACACACACACAUUCUCUCAUAGAAUCUCACGUAGACACCCAGACUCUCCCACAAGCCUCAGCUACACACACACACACACACACACACACACACACACACACACACACACACACACACACACGCCAGGGUUUUUUCUCUACUGCAUACACUCACAUGUAGCAAGAUACAGAUUCUCAUACUCCUGCACAUUCAGAUCCACACUCCCCCAUACUCUCUCUCUCUCUCUGUUUCUCUGUCUCUUUCUGUCUGUUUCUCACUCUCACUCUCUCUAUCUCCAUCUUUCUCUGUGUGACUGUCUCUGUCUCUCUCUCUCUCUCUCUCUCUCUGUUUCUCUGUCUCUUUCUGUCUGCUUUUCACUCUCACUCUCUCUAUCUCCAUCGUUCUCUGUGAGACUGUCUCUGUCUCUCUCCCACUCUCUCCUCCCUCCAUCUAUCUCUCUCUAUCUCUCUCUGUCUCUCCCUCCCUCCCUCCACUUCUGA
rnacentral:lncRNA from 1 species